AAUGCUGUGCUGAGUGGUUAUAUUACUACCUUAAAAAAUUCUAUUUUUUAAGGUAGUAAUAUAACCACUCAGCACAGCAUU